CGGAUACCCGUAACCCUGCUGCGGCGGGUACCCGUACCCGGGCGGGGGCGGUGCCGGAUACCCGUAACCCGGAGGAGGCGGCGCCGGAUACCGUACCCCGCCGGAGGUUGAGGAGGAUAUCCUUCUGCUGGCUUAUGAGUAUCGCCAACCGGAGGAUACCCUGCCGGCGGCGGAUAGCUUCCGCUUCCAUUCGCAGCCGCGGGAUACACCGGCGGAUAAUGUCCACCUCCCUCAACCACGGGGUAACCCGCCGGCGGCGGAUACUGGCCACUCCCCUCCUUUACCGGAUAUCCCGCCGGCGGCGGGUAAGAUCCGCGGCGGAUAAUUGGAGCUAGUUCCGGCAGGAUUCGCCGGCGGCGGGUAAGAUCCGGCCGGCGGAUAAUGGCCAUUCCCCUCCGUUUUUGGGUACCCCGCCGGCGGCGGGUAAGAUCCAACCGGCGGAUAACCGGAGCUAG
rnacentral:lncRNA from 1 species